rnacentral:rRNA from 1 species
UACGGAGGAUCCAAGCGUUGUCCGGAUUUAUUGGGUUUAAAGGGUGCGUAGGCGGAUCUUUAAGUCAGUGGUGAAAGCCUGCAGCUUAACUGUAGAAUUGCCAUUGAAACUGAAGAUCUUGAAUGUGGUUAAAGUAGGCGGAAUGUAUCAUGUAGCGGUGAAAUGCUUAGAUAUGAUACAGAACACCGAUAGCGAAGGCAGCUUGCUGAACCAUUAUUGACGCUGAGGCACGAAAGCGUGGGGAGCGAACAGGAUUAGAAACCCUAGUAGUCC